rnacentral:rRNA from 1 species
AUUGAACGCUGGCGGCAGGCCUAACACAUGCAAGUCGAACGGUAACAGGAAGAAGCUUGCUUCUUUGCUGACGAGUGGCGGACGGGUGAGUAAUGUCUGGGAAACUGCCUGAUGGAGGGGGAUAACUACUGGAAACGGUAGCUAAUACCGCAUAACGUCGCAAGACCAAAGAGGGGGACCUUCGGGCCUCUUGCCAUCGGCUGUGCCCAGAUGGGAUUAGCUAGUAGGUGGGGUAACGGCUCACCUAGGCGACGAUCCCUAGCUGGUCUGAGAGGAUGACCAGCCACACUGGAACUGAGACACGGUCCAGACUCCUACGGGAGGCAGCAGUGGGGAAUAUUGCACAAAGGGCGCAAGCCUGAUGCAGCCAUGCCGCGUGUAUGAAGAAGGCCUUCGGGUUGUAAAGUACUUUCAGCGGGGAGGAAGGGAGUAAAGUUAAUACCUUUGCUCAUUGACGUUACCCGCAGAAGAAGCACCGGCUAACUCCGUG